rnacentral:rRNA from 1 species
AAACGGCCGCGUUAGCGUGAGCGUGCUAAGGUAGCGUAAUAAAUAGCCUUUUAAUUGGAGGCCAGUGAAUGGCAAGACUAGGGAUAUCUAUACCCUGUAUGGCAAAAAAACUUUUCGUCUGAGUGAAAAGAUCUAGAUAACAAAGAAAGACGAAAAGACCCCGCGGAACUUUACCUUUUCCAAUCUUUAUGUGCUCAGAAACACAAAAAAUGAAAGGUUUGAUUGGGGCAAUCUUGGAACCAAACAAACUUCCAAUUAUGUUACAAAUAAUUAUAUAAAACUCGAUAAGGACCUAAAAGAAGUUACCCCGGGGAUAACAGCGUAAUCCAGCUUGAGAGUACGCAUCGAAAGCUGGGUUUGCGACCUCGAUGUUGGCUUAAGG